GGGGACCAUCCUCCAAGGCUAAAUACUCCUGACUGACCGAUAGUGAACCAGUACCGUGAGGGAAAGGCGAAAAGAACCCCGGCGAGGGGAGUGAAAAAGAACCUGAAACCGUGUACGUACAAGCAGUGGGAGCACGCUUAGGCGUGUGACUGCGUACCUUUUGUAUAAUGGGUCAGCGACUUAUAUUCUGUAGCAAGGUUAACCGAAUAGGGGAGCCGAAGGGAAACCGAGUCUUAACUGGGCGUUAAGUUGCAGGGUAUAGACCCGAAACCCGGUGAUCUAGCCAUGGGCAGGUUGAAGGUUGGGUAACACUAACUGGAGGACCGAACCGACUAAUGUUGAAAAAUUAGCGGAUGACUUGUGGCUGGGGGUGAAAGGCCAAUCAAACCGGGAGAUAGCUGGUUCUCCCCGAAAGCUAUUUAGGUAGCGCCUCGUGAAUUCAUCUCCGGGGGUAGAGCACUGUUUCGGCAAGGGGGUCAUCCCGAC
rnacentral:rRNA from 1 species